UCACAGAUGUUUUACACACGGUGGUCACAAGCAAUAGUUCCAGUGUGUAUGCUGACAACGCUUUUAUUUGGUUUGUUAAUCUUGGUUGUUGAUUUGAUUGAUUUUCUAUUUUAAUCAGCUCACUGUGAUGGACUUUGGCCCGCAAUUUCCUGAUUGCUUUGCUUCCUCUUUGAACAUGGCAAUUCCUUCAUUCCUGAAUGGAGGCACACCAGUGACCAUUCCAGGGUUGUCUCAGAGUCUCUGGUAAUGGGUGGAAUUUAUUGGACCUUCGGUCUAAAGACAAAGUUCCAGACUGCGAAAAGUGAAAGAAUUGGGGAAAGCAGAAAUAAAGCCACAGAUGUGUCCGAUGGCCCGUUGGUUGGAAAGUAAAGACGAGAGAUGCCACGAGUGACUGGCAUGAUUCAGAAUGGUCAGAUUUACAUUACGUCAAGUGCCAAUUAUCAGUAGGAACGGAGUAAAGAGAUCAGAUAAAUGGAUUCAGCAGUGGAGUGCUCCCUGAGUGCCUGUGCAUUUGAGUUUGAUGCACUUGGAUGAUGCACGUCAAGAAAACAAAACAAGUUCUGACGUCAAAAUUUAAUCCUUUGGAAAAUUAAUGCUAUUCAACAAAGCUGAUGACUGCACUAACCUCAAUAGACAAUUUUGAAUUUCUAUAUCAAUGCCGUACCUGACGUGAAUACUACAGCUAGAGUCUCAGUAUCAUCCCACUUAUUAUUAAUCAAUGCAAGCUGCACUUAGGCGACUAGCAGCGUAUAGAUUCGUUCAGAAAUAGAGAAACAGUGAACAACUUUGUUUUGAACACUAUCCAAAUAAAAACAUCCAUAGAUGAUUACAAUCACAAGCAUACAUGUGUGCAAGGAGAAAGGAGACAAGAAUGCAGAAUGUAGUGUAACAGCUACAGAGAAAAUGCAGAUAAAAAAGGUGCAAGGAUUGCAACAAAUUAGAUUGAGGGGCAGAGGUGAGUGUCAGGAAUACAUCCCUUGCCUUGUGAGAGGUCUGUUCAAGAGUCUGACACAUUAGAAAAGAAGCAGUCCUUGAAUCUUCACCGAAGAAAGAUCCUGAUCCACAGUGGACACCAUCUAAUGAACAAUGGAGUCAACUGUUUCCGUCCUUGGUGACAAGAUAAUUAUUGCCUCUUUUGUGUCAUUCCUUGAACCUGCCUCUUUGAAGUAUUCUCAAGGUGCAGGUUGAGAAGCAGGAGAAUCCAUUGUUCAUUGAAUGAGGACUUCUUUAGAUUGUACAGAAUGGCACAGAAUUAUAUGUAUUGUGAUCCCCCAGCAAUGAAAACAAACUACUUAACAAUAGUAAUAAAAAAACAGAAUGAGACUGGAAGAGUUCAAUAAAUUGUGCGUCAUUUGUGGAGAGGAACAGAACAAAUGUUUCAGUCGAAUGAGUGAUCAAUAAUUUGAAUUGUGUCUCAAUCAUAAUGUGAGAGUACAAGGUGAGACUGGUCCAUUCAAAGUCAAUAAAUUGUCUGUGCUGUGCUUAUCCUGAUUUACUAAGAAUGGACUUUCAAGUACAGCAAUCAGGAGCAGGAGAUCCAAUUAAUCUCUUGAUGCAGGACACUAAGGUCAAUCUGUGCCAUUGGUGACUCUGGAGAAUGAAACUUGCAACUUCCGAUAUUAAUGUAAUCCAUGGCAAAGCAGAAUGGAAAUCAGUCAAGAAAUGAUUAGUUUAAUAUGCAAGUCUAAAUAGCCUCAAACCACAAUUGGCAGAAAUAUUGGUGAGAUGAGCAACAAGAGCUCCAGUGGCAACUAACAUUUUCUCUGCAGGAGCUCACCCACUCUUCUGAGCUCUAUCAACACUGCUCUGCCAGAAGACCAGUCUGCUGGGUUACUUCUGGGAUACCACCAGGGGCACCGCAUGAUUGGCAGCCCCGCCAACAGUCUGUUUGUUUUUUAUAUUAAAUUUAGUGUGUGUUAAAAGUCUGUGUCACAAUCUGCGCUCUCCUCAUUCUCAUCCACUUCACCUCCCAGUACUUUUCCACCGGUCCCUCCUUCUCCUCACCUGCCUGCCUGCCACUCCCCUCUCAUCAGCCCAACUCUCCUCACCUGUUGCACUCAGUUGCCUCUGAUCACCAAUUAACCCGGUAUAUAGACUCUCCUCACCGUUCACACAGUGCCAGAUUGUUCUCAGCGUUCAUGCAGGAUCUCCAGCGAUUUCCAGACUGACUACACGGAUUCGAACCUGCCUGCCCCUGACCCUGACCAUUCCAUCCUGUUG